AAAGGAAUUAAUUUUCUUCUUCAGAGGCUACGUAGAGGGAAAUAUGUGUUAUUAUGGUAAAGGAAAAGGCUAUUUGCAAUGAAUGGAUAAGCUCUGUCUGUCAGCAUAAAACAUUCAUAGAAUAGGUGUUGAAGCCAAGGCAGAUUAUUCCUAGGGGGCCAUAGUCCUUUAUUCAGUGGGGUUUUUACCCAGUUUCUAGUCUGUUCACAAAAUAACUUCCCUUAUAUUUCACAGGAAAUGUGGUGAAUGGCAGAUGACAGGCCAGUCACUUGACUGAUGCCAGCUGACGUCUGUACAUUAAGCCAAACCAACCUAUCUUUGGCCCUAGCAGAAUGGGAUGGCAUUGAUCAGAAGAUGGAAGAUACCACAGCCAGAAGAGUCCAUCACUGGCUACAGCAUGGCACAGCAGACCCAAGUAGGAAUGCUGCUGUUGAAUCACACCCGGGUGAUCAGCAAUGCUCGACAGAAUAGCUGUUUGUUUGAAAGACAGACACAGGCAUCAUCCAGCUACACUUUCAAAAGGAAGCAAAUACAGCACUGUUUGAAAAAUCUCAAAA